rnacentral:rRNA from 1 species
CCUACGGGAGGCAGCAGUGAGGAAUAUUGGUCAAUGGACGAGAGUCUGAACCAGCCAAGUAGCGUGAAGGAUGACUGCCCUAUGGGUUGUAAACUUCUUUUAUAUGGGAAUAAAAUGUUCCACGUGUGGGAUUUUGUAUGUACCAUAUGAAUAAGGAUCGGCUAACUCCGUGCCAGCAGCCGCGGUAAUACGGAGGAUCCGAGCGUUAUCCGGAUUUAUUGGGUUUAAAGGGAGCGUAGGUGGAUUGUUAAGUCAGUUGUGAAAGUUUGCGGCUCAACCGUAAAAUUGCAGUUGAAACUGGCAGUCUUGAGUACAGUAGAGGUGGGCGGAAUGCGUGGUGUAGCGGUGAAAUGCUUAGAUAUCACGAAGAACUCCGAUUGCGAAGGCAGUUCACUGGACUGCAACUGACACUGAGGCACGAAAGUGUGGGUAUCAAACAGGAUUAGAUACCCCAGUAGUC